ACAAGCGGUGGAGCAUGUGGUUUAAUUUCGAUGAUACGCGAGGAACCUUACCUGGGCUCAAAUGUAUGUUGACGUAUUCUGAAAGGGAUACUUCUUCGGACAAUAUACAAGGUGCUGCAUGGUUGUCGUCAGCUCGUGCCGUGAGGUGUCGGGUUAAGUCCCAUAACGAGCGCAACCCCUAUCAUUAGUUGCCAUCAGGCCAAGCUGGGGACUCUAAAGGGACUGCCGGUGUUAAACCGGAGGAAGGUGGGGAUGACGUCAAGUCCUCAUGGCCUUUAUGACCAGGGCUACACACGUACUACAAUGGCCGAUACAAAGGGCAGCGACACUGCGAGGUGAAGCCAAUCCCGUAAAAUCGGUCUCAGUCCGGAUUGGAGUCUGCAACUCGACUCCAUGAAGUUGGAAUCGCUAGUAAUCGUGAAUCAGAAUGUCACGGUGAAUACGUUCCCGGGCCUU
rnacentral:rRNA from 1 species